rnacentral:rRNA from 1 species
GACGAACGCUGGCGGCGUGCUUAACACAUGCAAGUCGAACGGUGAAGCGAGUGCUUGCACUCGUGGAUCAGUGGCGAACGGGUGAGUAACACGUGAGUAACCUGCCCAUCACUCUGGGAUAAGCACUGGAAACGGUGUCUAAUACUGGAUACGACCAACCCUUGCAUGGGGUGUUGGUGGAAAGAUUUAUCGGUGAUGGAUGGACUCGCGGCCUAUCAGCUUGUUGGCGGGGUAAUGGCCCACCAAGGCGACGACGGGUAGCCGGCCUGAGAGGGUGACCGGCCACACUGGGACUGAGACACGGCCCAGACUCCUACGGGAGGCAGCAGUGGGGAAUAUUGCACAACGGGCGAAAGCCUGAUGCAGCGACGCCGCGUGAGGGAUGACGGCCUUCGGGUUGGAAACCUCUUUCAGCAGGGAAGAAGCGAAAGUGACGGUACCUGCAGAAGAAGCACCGGCUAACUACGU